rnacentral:rRNA from 1 species
CCUACGGGGGGCAGCAGUGGGGAAUAUUGCACAAUGGGGGAAACCCUGAUGCAGCGACGCCGCGUGAGUGAAGAAGUAAUUCGUUAUGUAAAGCUCUAUCAGCAGGGAAGAAAAUGACGGUACCUGAGUAAGAAGCCCCGGCUAACUACGUGCCAGCAGCCGCGGUAAUACGUAGGGGGCAAGCGUUAUACGGAUUUACUGGGUGGAAAGGGAGCGUAGACGGCAGUGCAAGUCUGGAGUGAAAGGCGGGGGCUCAACCCCCGGACUGCUCUGGAAACUGUACGGCUGGAGUGCAGGAGAGGUAAGUGGAAUUCCUAGUGUAGCGGUGAAAUGCGUAGAUAUUAGGAGGAACACCAGUGGCGAAGGCGGCUUACUGGACUGUAACUGACGUUGAGGCUCGAAAGCGUGGGGAGCAAACAGGAUUAGAUACCCUUGUAGUC